rnacentral:rRNA from 1 species
AUUGAACGCUGGCGGCAGGCCUAACACAUGCAAGUCGAACGGAGCGGCGGACGGGUGAGUAAUGCCUAGGAAGCUGCCCGGUAGUGGGGGAUAACGUCCGGAAACGGGCGCUAAUACCGCAUAAUAUCAGAUGAGCCUAGGUCGGAUUAGCUAGUUGGGGGGGUAAAGGCCUACCAAGGCGACGAUCUGUAACUGGUCUGAGAGGAUGAUCAGUCACAGUGGAACUGAGACACGGACCAGACUCCUACGGGAGGCAGCAGUGGGGAAUAUUGGGCAAUGGGCGAAAGCCUGAGCAAGCCACGCCGCGUGUGUGAAGAAGGUGUUCGGAUUGUAAAGCUCUGUAAGUUGAGAGGCGUUACCUACCGAGUAAGCACCGGCUAACUUCGUGCCAGCCGCCGCGGUAAUAC